rnacentral:rRNA from 1 species
UACGUAGGGUGCGAGCGUUAAUCGGAAUUACUGGGCGUAAAGCGUGCGCAGGCGGUUCUCCAAGUCCGGUGUGAAAGCCCCGGGCUCAACCUGGGAAUGGCAGUGGAAACUAGGGGACUGGAAUCUGGCAGAGGGGGGUGGAAUGCCGCGUGUAGCAGUGAAAUGCGUAGAGAUGUGGAGGAACACCGAUGGCGAAGGCAGCCCCCUGGGCUAACACUGACGCUCAUGCACGAAAGCGUGGGGAGCAAACAGG